rnacentral:rRNA from 1 species
AGCGAACGCUGGCGGCAGGCCUAACACAUGCAAGUCGAACGGACCUUUCGGGGUUAGUGGCGGACGGGUGAGUAACACGUGGGAACGUGCCUUUAGGUUCGGAAUAGCUCCUGGAAACGGGUGGUAAUGCCGAAUGUGCCCUUAGGGGGAAAGAUUUAUCGCCUUUAGAGCGGCCCGCGCCUGAUUAGCUAGUUGGUGAGGUAAUGGCCCACCAAGGCUACGAUCAGUAGCUGGUCUGAGAGGAUGACCAGCCACAUUGGGACUGAGACACGGCCCAAACUCCUACGGGAGGCAGCAGUGGGGAAUCUUGCGCAAUGGGCGAAAGCCUGACGCAGCCAUGCCGCGUGGAUGAUGAAGGUCUUAGGAUUGUAAAAUCCUUUCACCGGUGAAGAUAAUGACUGUAGCCGGAGAAGAAGCCCCGGCUAACUUCGUGCCAGCCGCCGCUGUAA